rnacentral:misc_RNA from 1 species
GGGACGAAAGCAGUGAGUAAAGGGUUUCUUCAAUCGUCAUUCACAAUAUCAACAACUUAGGUCAAAAUCCUGAUCACAUUCUUUCACCCCAAAAAAAAAAAAAAAUCAACAAAUAAUACAUUUCUUAUGUUAGUAACACCACAACAUGGCGUUCUAUUUGUGACCAUACAUCCUCCAUAUGAGUAUACGUGGAGCAAAUCAAGCAAACAAAAUCCUCAUCUCACAAGUCAAAUCCAGCUGAAAGCUCUAAAACACUUCAGCUAUUUUGCUUGCUAAAACACGUUCCCUUCUUUCAAUGUAUCCAAAUGGGAACCAACCUGCUUUCCCUUUGCAUUCUCCUUCGGCCCAGCCAUUAUUUGUAAGCUGUUAAAAAUGCACAGUAGAAUUCAACCAUUCUUGCACUGAAUUCUAUAGAUAUGGGAAUAGGAUAACAUGCUUGGACACCACAGACAAACACACAUAUAUAUAAAGAAUGUGUUAAUUUAGAGAACUUAAAACCUUUCGAACAACAACAUAAUCACCAACUGAUAAAGUCAGCUCCACAUCAGAUUCAGCUUGAUAAGAAUGCAUAACCUAUAGUAGAACAGCAUAUUAACAUUCAACAAAUCAAAAGCUGCUAUAAAAGCCAUGCCAUUUUUAUAUAAGCAAAGUUAAAGGUAAUGACAGAAGGAACAUGGUUACUAACCUCUCCCAAAAAGUAACCCAUGCUGUCUGUUGAGCCAUUAUGUGAUUGAGAAGCAUAUACACCAUUUACUUCUUCAUAUGAAGGUGGUGGUGGCAUGUUGUUCUCAGUACUUGGAGCAGGAGGUGCUUCAAUUCGUUGUCGUUCAGAUAUCAUCUAAUUAUGGAAAUAAUUGUAGAUCACAAACAUAAAUCAGGGCAAAAAACAAUAGGGAACAUUGCAUUGUAAUUCAGCUCCAAAUUAUAGAGAAAGCUAGGUGAAAAGGACAUAUAUCAUGAUUGCAAACCUCAUUUUCAAGCUGAUCAAGUAUCUGAAUAACUCUCUGGUGAUAAGUACGUUCUGCUUCAACCUUCAUAUUAGAUCAUAAAUGAGACAAGGACAAGGCUCCAUAUCUGACCCCCAUCUAACACAAUAUUAAUAACUAAUUUGAACCAUGAUAAAAACAGGGUAUAAAUUGCAUUACCAUUGCAAUAAGUCGCUGGAGAGUCAACCUCUGUUGUUGAGCUUCAACAGCAGCCAUUGCUGCAGCUGCUUCCUUCCCCAAUACUGCCAUGUUUGACUUCAGGUCUUGCAGCUUUGAUUCUGCAGCUUCUAAUUUCAUAGCAAGCUCAGGACUUCCUGGCAUUUCUCUCACUUUUGCCUGUCGUUUGGAAACUUCAAUAGCCUGAGCUUCUGCUUCUUGCCGCAUUCUUUCAUAACGUUGUGCAAGAUGCCGAGCAUCCUCCAAUGGAGCUCCCAUUACCAUUGCUCUUAAUGGCUCUGCGACCUAAAAAUCAAAACAUUUCAACACUCUAUCAUGCAUCUAAUUGAAAGGCAUCAACAACAAAGAUAGUGAGUAAAUAUUAACAAUCAAGUCAAAUAAAUGUUAUUUCAAGUAAACUAAUCAGAAUUAAACAUAAAAAGAUAGGACCUUUCAUAAAAUAAAUUGAAAUGAAAUACAAAUUGUGAUUAAUUUCUAACGGUGUAAAUACUAUGAUUAAUUAACAGAGAACAAAAGAUCACACAAGUUAUUCUAUGUAAUUUGAUUUGUCAUUAAUCAACUCAACGAGCAAAACUGCUAAUACAUUUAGCUAAGACUCAAAGCAUGAGAAAAAAAUUGUUCCUCCACCAAAGGUGCAAUAUUUUGGGCCGAUUUCUAUGUUUGUUAAUUCUCAGGCGUCUUAUAUCUUGGGCAUUACUUUCCAUAUACCAGGUUUGCACCUCCUUCUCUUAGAUGUUUUUCUUUUCUAUAUUUUAAGAAAAUUAUAGAGAGAAUACAUUGGACCAAGCUUAGAUAUUGGGCCACAGCAAUGGCACACACACACACACACAGAUCAAGUUUGUGCAUCUUAUAAGCUUAAGAGAAUUAGAUGUCAAUUCAUGCUCUACUUUGUCAAGCAGCAGAGGCUAGGAUACAUUCUUUUCAUCAUAGACUAUGUUCCUUUCCAAGUCAGAUCAACUAACAAAAUGUUCUUACACUAGUCAGGCCCUAUUUUGAAGCUUUUUAGAUGUUCAUAUGCAGCAGUGAGCACAUGAAAGUUACCCAAGGGGGCUGCAUCCCUUGUGUAUCAAUGUCUAAGCAAACUUGCUGGCACUUUGUUCACAAGUUAGUACUUGUCUUUAUUCCAGGAAAUAAAAAUGUCUCAAGACAUUUAAUCCACAAAAUCUUGCAAAAGUAGCUGAAGAUAAGGCUUUUAGUAGAAGAGAUAUUUUACCCCAAAUCCAAUCUGUUCGCAUACAUUUAGUCCGAUAUUGUAAAGAGGUCCUAAUUCACAUAUCUGGCUAGGUUCUAAAUUUAUUAAUCCAUCUAUAACAACUCAAAUAUGGAUUUUAUUUAUGGAAAUAAUCCUAUCCAUAAUUACUAUUAACAUAAACAUAAUUUACUAUAAAUUUAAAUAAUUUCAUUGAUUGUAAAUAUAAAUAGGAGGGCCUGUGCAUGUGUGUGUCAAUAACUAUUGAAUUCCCAAAUAAAUGAUGGUAUAGGUAACAUAUAUAAAGCAAAAUGAAAUAUUAAUUUUAUUCAAUCUAACGUAUGCUUUUAUGAUUUGAACAAUUAAAUAUAGAUUGAAGUUGUAUUUUGUUGGGAAUGUUUGAAUGGUACGUCAAAAAAGUUGUUAUGGGCUCAAGGCAUGUUGCCAAAGCAAAUUACUUUUCCACUUUCCUUUUUUUAAUCUCUUUGAUAGUGUUAAUAGUUAAGAGUUGUUGUU